UACGUAGGUGGCGAGCGUUGUCCGGAUUUACUGGGCGUAAAGGGAGCGUAGUCGGAUUUUUAAGUGAGAUGUGAAAUACUCGGGCUCAACUUGAGUGCUGCAUUUCAAACUGGAAGUCUAGAGUGCAGGAGAGGAGAAUGGAAUUCCUAGUGUAGCGGUGAAAUGCGUAGAGAUUAGGAAGAACACCAGUGGCGAAGGCGAUUCUCUGGACUGUAACUGACGCUGAGGCUCGAAAGCGUGGGGAGCAAACAGG
rnacentral:rRNA from 1 species